ACUACGGGUGACAGCAGUUAGGAAUAUUGGGCAAUGGAGGAAACUCUGACCCAGCAACGCCGCGUGAAGGAAGAAGGUUUUCGGAUUGUAAACUUCUGAUCUGUGGGACGAAGAAAGUGACGGUACCACAGGAGAAAGCAACGGCUAACUACGUGCCAGCAGCCGCGGUAAUACGUCGCUGGCGAGCGUUGUCCGGAAUAACUGGGCGCAAUGGGAGCGUAGGGGGUUGUUUAAGUUAAAGGUGCCAGCCCAGGGCGCAACCCUGGAACGUCAUUUAAUACUGGGCGGCUAGAGUCCAGGGCGGUUCACCGGACUUUCUAGUGUAGCGGUGAAAUGCGUCGAUAUUAGGAAGAACACCGGAGGCGACGGCGGUUUACUGGACUGCACCUGACACUGCGGCUCGACAGCGUGGGGAGCACACAGGAUUAGAUACCCGUGUAGUC
rnacentral:rRNA from 1 species